UAGACAGAUGUUCAGUGGUUGGACGCUUAGCUGUUAACUAAGAGUUUGAGGGAUCGAAGCCCUCCUGUUUAU
rnacentral:tRNA from 1 species